AUCCGUCAGGGGAUAUCCGAUAAAAUUGGAAUGAUACAGAGAAAAUUAUAUGACCCCAGAGCAAAGAUAAUACACAUUGAUAAAUAGUCCCAACUCAUCAUC